ensembl:lncRNA
UCGAGCGGCAAAUCUUCCACUGCGCCCCCUGCUGUAUGCGGCAGGAGCUGCAGGCACCGCAGCGGGAGUUUAUUAUUGUAUUAAGAAGCGUCGCGAUGGGGAGAGAACCGCGGAGCCCGUGUACAGACCUCCCACCGAAGAUUCUGCUGUGGUGGAGUCAGACUUGAUGUCUGAUGUGGAUGCAGUCAGAGUCACACAGACUGACAGGGCUGUCCCUGAGGAUUCUCUGAGCGAGACUGAGGAGAACAAUAAGGAGGACGAGGUGUUCAGUGCUCAGGUGGACCGCGAGAGGUCCAACCUGGAGGACAGAGUGAGGGAGCUGGAGGGACUGGUCUGUGAGGCACACCGAGAGUAUGAGAGGAAAAAGAAGGACCUUGAGCGAGAGACGGUAACUCACGUUAUCCUGAAGUCACAGUAUGAGGGGUCACUAAAGGUCUCCUUGACUGAAGCUGAGGAGAAAUAUGAGCUUGCGAUCGAGUCCUGUGUUCAGCUGGAAAAGGAGAAAUCUGAACUGAUGUCUGAUGUGAAUGCCCUGCAAGGCUCAGUUCAGGAGCUGGAAAAAGAACUCUCUGAGAUGCGGAUAAGACAUGAUGAGCUAGCGACGGAGUGUAAACAAAAAAGUCUGCAGUUGCGCGUCCUGCAGACCAAGCAUGAUGUGAUGAGGACAUUUUUACAGAAGAAGUAUGAGGAAAAGCUUCUGGCUCACAGUGAGAUGAAUUCCCAAUAUGAUCAGACGAAGGAAGCAUUAACGGAGAAAGAGGUCUCUCUGGCUGAAGCUGAGGGGCAAUAUCAGACUUCAGUACACAUGAAUAAUAAUAGGAUACUCUACAUAAAAGAACUCAUAAUGGAAGCCUAUAAUCAGCAGAAGCAUGAGCAAAUAAGGCUGGAGCAUGAACGAGAGCAGGAGGCUCACAGUGUCUUGAAGACCCAGUGUGAUCACGUGAAGAAAACACACAAUGAGGAGUCAAUAAAGGUCACUGUGUUGAUGGGGUCCUGUGCUCAGGUGGAGUCUGACCUGAUGUCCCUGAUGAAACCACUGCGAGCCUCUGUGCAGCAGCAGGAGAAGGAAAUCCGUGAAAUACACAGAAUGUAUGGCAAAAUAAUGAAGGAGCAGGAAGAAGAAUGCGAGUCUCACAGACUCCUGAAACUGCAGUACACAGAGAUUAUGAAAACUUUAAAACAGUGCUACGAGUUACUAAAAAACUGCCUUGGAUCUGAGGAGCCUGAACCCCAGAUAUGAACCCCAGGUACCUGCCAGGGACAGAGUUUAACACCUGGAUAUUCUCUAAUGCAUGUGCACAUAUGCCAAGACCUCAAAGUCAGAGUUAUUCCUGCAGAGCUCUGUGCCGUUUUUCCAACAUGGGUGAAGGGGGUUGGACUGGUACCAUUAGGGCUUGACUCAAGGAUGGAUCAGGGGCACCUGGAUGCUUGUUGGGGCCCUGAGAGCUUGGUUCUAAGCACCUGUAGCUCCAGGGUUGCCAGUUGCCAUUCACUCGAUACUUGGACAGUGGACCCCAUCAAUGUAAUGUUUCAUCUGGCAAAAGCACCAGCAAUGUGAUGCAGGGGUCUACAGAGGGCAUGCAGUCCAGAGUAUUAUCGUAUGACAUAUUAGCAAAUCAUCACAGAGCUCCUGUUGUGGCUGCUUUAACAUUUGCCGGUUGUGUCUGUAAGUUGCUUGAUUCUGAACCCUUCCUAUUGCUGCCAGAGCCAACUAUGUAAAGUGUAGCUCAGCUGUUGGUUUGGUUUCUGGUUAAAAAAUAUUCCAGAGGCGCUCAUGGGCAUGCCGUCCUUAUGCAUCUCAAUCGAGCACUACCAGGGAGCUCAGAUUUUUGGAGGGUGUAGUGUAGUGGCGUCUGAGCCACUGUUGGCAAUGGCAGGAGUACCUUCAGGAUUAUUAUUUCUGUUAGUUGGUUUUGUGAGGGGAGCUCCAGUCUGAACUGGUGCAGAACUGGUGCAGUCCUAUGGGCAGAUCAGUGUGCAGGAGAACAAGAAAAAGGCACAACAUGUUGGGUACCUACAGUAAUAACUACAUCACUGUUGUCACAUUACUUUGUGAAAUGGUCUUGACAUACGUGAAAAAGAGAAUAUCCAGGUGUGAAUCACACUGCCCCUGGUGGUUAGGAGGGGUGAAAUAGUACUACCACAAACAUGCUAGGAUGAUACACAGACAGACAUAGAGUGCAUCCAGAAAGUAUUCACAGCGCUUCACUUUUUCC